CAAGCAGUCGAUGGUUUCGAAAGUGUUUUCAAUCCACGAAUAUGUUUCUUGGAAAAUUCACUCUGUUUAAAAUCAUCGUUUUAAUGGUUGCUAUAUUGCGUACUGCAAACUGCAUUAAUUGUUAUUCUUGUAAUUCGAAACAAGAAAAGCAUUGUUUGGAUCCAUUUUCUUUUAAUUAUACCGGAACGAACUUUAAAAUAGUAGAUUGCGCUGACGAGGUGGCAACUCGUCAAUACAUUUCUCGUAUUGCUAACGUAUUCUCUGCUGUGGGUAUUCCAAUGAAUCCAAACGCGAAAUACGCUUUGAAUAGUAUAUCGGAGCAGACUCAGAAAUCAGCCUGUCAAAAGGUCGAAAUUAUAGAUAACAACGAACACAUCAUAAUCCGCGAGUGCGCCAUACUCUCAGAUAUCGUAUGCGAUUCGCUGAAAAACGAAAGUGGCGUGGAUUCGGCCAUCACAUUUUGCCAAAUUUGCGACUCAGACCAUUGCAACAGUUCUCACAAAAUAUUUACAAGUUGGAAUUUACUCUUUACGAGCAUAUUAACAUACAGGGUAAUACUUUAAUUUACGUUCAUCUUUCCGGUCUACCUCUACCUACAAAUAAGCUGUCACCACAAGGACUUUUCAAUGAAUUUAGUAGAUAUUUUUUUUUGUACGAUAUGUAAGGCACCAACCAACGCUUCUAGAUACGCACUAAAACAUGGAAACGAGUGGGUGAGUAAUUAAUACUUGCAAAAAUGAAAGAAAUUAGCCCCGUGUCUAUUAAGGGAUUGAACUAUAUCCAUUUUUACUAAUUGAGGUUAAAUGGAAAGAGGAAGCAUAAUUACCUAGUCUUUUGCGCGAGUUAAAGUAUUGGUAUGCGGGGACCACCUUGUUGUUGUUGUUUUUUUUCUUCUUAUUAUUCUAGAAAACUUAUUAUUACGUAUACUUACUUACGGGUUUUAUUGUAUACUUACUGUGCACGAGUAUAGUAUGAGUAAGUAAUUCGGUAUGAUAAGCGUCAUCUUGCGAGGAAAUCGAAUUGAAAUUAAUUACUCGGAUGCGGAUGACCGAAUUCAUCGUGUGGUCUCUAUGCAAUUAAUCAUCACAUACUUACUUACACGUGUGUAUGUGUUUUUAUGUGUACAUAUCACUAUUAUGGCUAAGGUGUUGACUUAAUAAA